rnacentral:tRNA from 1 species
GCCGCGGUAGCUCAGUUGGGAGAGCGUUAGACUGAAGAUCUACCGGUCACCUGUUCAAGUCAGGUUCGUGGCA